rnacentral:rRNA from 1 species
UGGCGAACGGGUGAGUAACACGUGGGCAACCUGCCCAAAAGAGGGGGAUAACACUUGGAAACAGGUGCUAAUACCGCAUAACCAUAGUUACCGCAUGGUAACUAUGUAAAAGGUGGCUAUGCUACCGCUUUUGGAUGGGCCCGCGGCGCAUUAGCUAGUUGGUGGGGUAAAGGCUUACCAAGGCAAUGAUGCGUAGCCGAACUAAGAGGUUGAUCGGCCACAUUGGGACUGAGACACGGCCCAAACUCCUACGGGAGGCAGCAG